CUAUUGAUGGAGGGACACAGGGAGGUGGUGUAUGACUAGGACGCUCAAGAGAUCAGUGUGAAUUUUGUUCCAGUAUGGCAGCUCUGGAGGAUAGUGACUGUCAUGAUGCCCACUGUGAAAACAUCAGUUCUUAUUUUAUUUACAGGUAUGAAUCUGCAGAAGCAGCGAGAAACAGCUGGAAUACCACAAGAAGUUCUUUGUCGUGUUUCUCUCUAUGAUGUGAAGAGCAGCAAAGACUAGUGAAGGCCACUGAAGACCAGUGAAGACCACUGAAGACCAAUGAAGACCAGUGAAGACCAGGAAAGCAUUUCAAGGCAUAGCAAUGCAAAAGCUUCCUCUCAUUGUCUGAGUUAUAUUUAUAUUCUUCACAAACACCACACCCUCGCUCAAGCAUCUACUCCAGCAAAAACAUCACAUGCCCUCCCAUGUGUCUGCUUCAGCAAAACAUCCUCUCACAAGACAGCUUGCAGAAAAACACCACACAAUACAACUACGUUUCCAAAGAAACCAGAGAUUUCCACUUUGAUCCUGUAAGGGAGAAAGAGGAAGGCGCACUAACAUUCACUGUUCUGUGCUUUGACUGCAGACACAAUAUGACCGACCAGCUGCUUUUCGCUCCUGAUGGCACACCCUCUCUUCUACAAGGCUGAAUCAUCAAGCCAUGAACCAAAUAAACCCUUCUUUCCU
rnacentral:lncRNA from 1 species